UACGUAGGGACCAAGCGUUGUUCGGAUUUACUGGGCGUAAAGGGCGCGUAGGUGGCGGGACAAGCGUGCGGUGAAAGCUCGGGGCUCAACCCCGAGUCGGCCGUGCGAACUGUCUUGCUUGAGCACUGUAGAGGCAGGCGGAAUUCCGGGUGUAGCGGUGGAAUGCGUAGAGAUCCGGAAGAACACCGGUGGCGAAGGCGGCCUGCUGGGCAGUUGCUGACACUGAGGCGCGACAGCGUGGGGAGCAAACAGG
rnacentral:rRNA from 1 species